rnacentral:rRNA from 1 species
UACGUAGGGCGCAAGCGUUAUCCGGAAUUAUUGGGCGUAAAGAGCUCGUAGGCGGUUUGUCGCGUCUGCCGUGAAAGUCCGGGGCUCAACUCCGGAUCUGCGGUGGGUACGGGCAGACUAGAGUGAUGUAGGGGAGACUGGAAUUCCUGGUGUAGCGGUGAAAAUGCGCAGAUAUCAGGAGGAACACCGAUGGCGAAGGCAGGUCUCUGGGCAUUAACUGACGCUGAGGCACGAAAGCGUGGGGAGCAAACAGG